UGUGCAUGAUUGAAAAAAAUUCUAAGGAAC
rnacentral:piRNA from 1 species